rnacentral:rRNA from 1 species
UUUGGGAUGGGCCCGCGUUGGAUUAGCUAGUUGGUGAGGUAACGGCUCACCAAGGCUGCGAUCCAUAACUGGUUUGAGAGGACGACCAGUCACACUGGAACUGAGACACGGUCCAGACUCCUACGGGAGGCAGCAGUGAGGAAUAUUGGUCAAUGGGCGAGAGCCUGAACCAGCCAUGCCGCGUGCAGGAAGACGGCCCUAUGGGUUGUAAAGCACUUUUGGAGGGGAUGAGGAAGG